GCAAGUCGAACGGAAACGAUGGGAGCUUGCUCCCAGGCGUCGAGUGGCGGACGGGUGCGUAACGCGUAGGAAUCUACCCAGUAGUCGGGGACAACUCGGAGAAAUCCGUGCUAAUUCCGAACAUGCUCUACGGAGUAAAGGGGGCCUCUUCUUGAAAGCUCUCGCUAUUGGAUGAGCCUGCGUAGGAUUAGCUUGUUGGUGAGGUAAUGGCCUACCAAGGCGACGAUCCUUAGCUGGUCUGAGAGGAUGAUC
rnacentral:rRNA from 1 species